GCUAGGGAAUUCAUCCUUUUUAUGAAAUGUAAAGCGAAAGGCCAAUUUACAGGUGAUUUUCCCUUUUACAAAACGUAACGGAAAGGCUAAUGCAACGAUUCCAGGGAAUCCUCUUCACAAAAUGUAGCGCAGAAGCUAAUUUAUUUGUCGAGAUUGUAGUUUCCUAUUACAAAAUGUAACGAAAAGGAGUACUUUCAUAGGAUUUUCACCUUUUACAAAACGUUCCAGGGGAUUUUUCCCUUUUACAAAGUGUAAAGCAUAAGGCCAAUUUCCAGAUUAUUUUUUUACAAAAUGUAACGCAAAAUACUACAUUCCCAUUUACAAAAUUUUACGGAAAAGCUUAACUCCAGAGGAUUUUUCCCUUUUACAAAACGUAACGGAAUGGCUAAUGUAACGAUUCCAGGGAAUUUUUCUCUUUCCCUUUUACUAAACAACUAAAAUUGAAUGAAAGCUAGGAUGGGUGAUUUAAUGCAGCUUUGAUGCCUUCUCGCGUCGGUCUCACAUUAAGCUUCCGAUUUAAUGAUUGGCGUCAUUUUCAUUUUAUACGCCUACACAAAUAAACUCAU